rnacentral:rRNA from 1 species
UCAUAAGGUACCGUCAACUGCACAUGAAUGCACAGAAUUCUUCCCAAAUAAAAGCAGUUUACAACCACUAGGGCCGUCAUCCUGCACGCGGGAUGGCUGGAUCAGGCUUUCGCCCAUUGUCCAAUAUUCCUUA